rnacentral:lncRNA from 10 species
CAGCAGAUACCAUUAUAAUAUCCACUUUAGUAAUAGGAAAGUCAAGGCUCAGAGAUGAAAAUAGACAUGCAGCGAUUGCAUAUGAAAGCCAGGGUCAAGGCCAUAUCUGACUUACUCAUAUUUCCUUCAUGACCCGCAGAUUACGUUGCCUCUCUGUGGACUCCUGGCUGCACAUUCUCCCAUAAGCAGUCUUGGUGACCCAUUGGAACAUGCCCUUUCAGCUACUGUCAUUCAUGAAAGUUUUUUUGUUAAUGAGACUAACAGAAAAAAUGGCAAGAAACUAUUUUUUUAAAGGAUUUUCCUUUGUACAAAAUAAUUCAAAAGAAAAAUUUGCCUCUUGAUAUAUAUUUUUUAAACUUUUUAAUUGGAUAUUGGCAAGUUAUAACUGUAAGGUAAAAACAUAAGGUAAAAAAUGAUGCUGUGAUAUAUGUAUACAAUGUGGAAUGAUUGGCUCAAGCUAAUUAAUAUCCAUCACCUCAAACACUAUCAUUGAUUCCUCCCAUCUAGUUGAAACAUUAUAUUCUUUGAUCAUCGUCUUCCCUUUCCCCACCCUCAGCCUCUGGUAACCAUCAUUCUACUUUCUGCUUCUGCGAGUUCCGUAUUUUUAGCUUCCACAUAGAAGUGAGGACAUACAAAUUUGUCUUUCUGAAUUUGAACUUUUCUUAAGUUAAACUAAUACAUAUUAUUUUGGCACUGAUCUCAAAGUGUUAUUCUACUUACUGAUUUAUUAUUCUAUUUAUUGGGGAAGUACACAAUCCCUUGAAUAUUUCAGAACUAUAGGAGUUAUAUUACAUUGUGGUGAGCUAACGUGUUUGCCUCUGUCUUGCAGUGUCCCUGGGUUGUGGCCAAUUUUAAUUUGGAGCUAUGUAUGAUUUGAUAAUCCUUUCUAAAUGACAAUGCAAACACAAAUUCAUGACUAUAAAAUAUGACAUUAUCCAUUUGAUAGGUAAGAGGGACUACGUUUGAGUUGAAAAGGAAGUCAUUUACCAUGGUUCCAUUAAGAGGGACUCACCUCAGGGUGGACACUACCUUUGCCAGAGAAAUAUUUUGAUCAUUUAAUUGAAUUUUCUCUUAACUGGAAUAUCAACUCAUGUUUUGUGAUCUUUUUAUAACAGGGACUCAUUUUAUUAACAGUUUGGCAAUAUACAAAUAUGUUCUUAUUUUAAAUUAAUAACUAAAUUAAUAAAUGUCACAAAAUUGGUAUUUAUAAAUUAUGCAAAAAUAAACCAUGGUUUCUUUAUUCACUCUAAUGGUAAACACAAGAUUAAAGGCUUAUAUGUCUAUGAUCUGCUUUUCUUUUCUUUCUUCCUUUUUUUUUAAGAUGGAGUCUUACCCUGUCACCCAGGCUGGAGUGCAAUGACAUGAUCUUGGCUCACUGCAACCUCCUCCUCCUGGGUUCAAGUGAUUCUCAUGCCUCAGCCUCCCAAGUAGCUGGAAUUACAGGUGCACAUCACCAUGCCCAGUUUUUUUGUGUUUUUAGUAGAGACGGGAUUUCACCAUUUUAACCAGGCUGGUCUCGAACUCCUGACCUCAGGUGAUUCACCCACCUUGGCCUCCCAAAGUGCUGGGAUUACAGGCCUGAGCCACUAUGCCUGGCUUGAUUUACUUUUUGUCCCAGUUUUGACUCAGCAGGUUAUGAUCCACUGCAAACUACUAAAAUUUGCAUUUUCUUUUCCCUGAAUGAGUCUUAACAUUUUAUAGCUUUUAACUGUCCAAUUAUCCUAACAUUUUAUUUUUGGUCUAGAGGAAAAGAACCAAAACCAUUUUUUUUCUAUUUUUUUAAACUAGCCAUAGUGAUUGCCAUCCUAUUGUAACAGUUGGCUGAUGUUUUGGUCUACUUUUGCAUUAUCCUGCAGGUAUCCUUGUGGUUGAUCUCCAUGCACACUCAAACACCCCAACUCUCCAACACAACCCACUUCCAUGUGGUUGGCCUUAUACUGGGGAAAGGGGAAGGCACAGAAGUUCAAUAGGGGAUCCCUGGGAUGACAUUCUAGCAGGAAUAAAUAUAUCAAAUAGUUUUGCUAGUCUCAUGAGGAGUAGAAAAAUAGACAAAAUAUCAAAGUAACAUCAUCAGUCCCAAAGGUUAUGAAAAAUUAGUCAUGGCCAGUAGUGCAAAAAGAAAAAUCGAGAGAGUGAAUUCUGAAGGAAAAUACAUCUUACCCACAUGAUAUCUAUAUUGACCAGUGUUUGUGAAUGAAUUUUCUCUAGCGCAACUGUUGUGCGAAGGCUUAAGAUCAUUUCUACAGGAAUCAUAUUCCAAGUAAAUUCAGCCAUGCUAAAUGCAGUUUCAGCCAGCAACACCAGAUAAACAUUUGCUGUUAGAAAGAAUGUCAACACCCCAUCAACCACCAUAUAUACUAUUCGGCAUUGACUCAGCCAAGUCUCCAAUUUAUCUGUAUCAUUUGUUAUAACCUUAGUUUUAAUUUUGCCAUGUCUUCCAUUCCAAUGUAUCUAAUGUUAGACUAUUUAAGAGAUAUUUACCCAGGAAAGUUUAAUCACAGUACACUAGAAAAGAUGCUCUUUCCUGAUAAUGAGGAGAACUGGACUUUUCCCUCCAUUUUGACACAGCUAGCUAUCACUUUGGGACAAAUCACAACUUUAUCGAGCUUCAGCUUUCUCAUCUGUAAAAUAUGUGCACUGAAAUUAUAACUCUACCAUUCUGUUAUGAUAGGUAUCUGAGAGAUUUCACUUCUAUAGCAAUUACAUCGUGAGAGCACUGGCCCUAUAAAGCCAAGAAGGAAUGAAAAGAGGCUAAGACAAAAAAUAGUGAGUUAAAAUGUAAAGGAUACCUUCUACCCCCCAAAAAGAAGAUACAGUUUCCUUGGUACCCUGGCCAUGUUCUUAUGGGUUUUCUCAGUAGCUUAUGAGCAUAUUCUUGACUUUUUGAUAUUUUAACUUCAUAGUCUUCUUUAAACAUUAUCCCCUGAACCUUGAAGGUUACAGACACUAUAGUGCUAAUGGCAAUGUCCUUGAAAGAUCAAAAAAAGUAAUUCUUGAGGUACUGUUAUUUGAGGUCCCUGUAACUAAUUUCAAAUUAAAUGAGCAUCAAGAGAAAAGAGUUACUCCUGAAAUAUUGUGCUCUCAUUUGACUUUGUUUUUUUUUUUGUUUUUUCUUUUUUAAAAUUCUUUUUCUCGGGAAGCAUAUUGUCUAUGUUUGUGUCAGGGUUGCCCUCAUUAUGCCCAACCACUUUUCAACUACACUUGGCUGAGGCUUACUCUAGAAUAACACAGUUCUAAAGUUAUCUGUUUGCAUAUGGUUGAUUCAGGAGGGAUUCAAAGGAUAAAUUUAUUGUGUUUCUAAGAAAGACAACCCUUUUCCCCCCAAACCUAAACAUAUAUAUAUUUUUCUGAAUGCACCCUCAAAAUCAGUGUCUUUCUCAAUCUAAUAUUAUAUUGGAAGAGGAAGCAUUGUUUAGACACAUAGUUAUGUACUACUGACUGUUGCUAUAAAAAUGAAGUUUAAUCUGCACAAUUUCCAUUGCUUUUCCUUUGAAAUCUGGUGUUUAUUGCAACAGAACUUCAGAUUUUGUAACAUGAUAGUCUGAAAGACAGGCCAACACAGGCAGCUCUUUGGAAACAAGAGACCUGGUACUUCCAACAGCCAAAAAGCUGGCCAAACAUCAGGAACAAGGGAAAGACACAUCAGGUAGGUUCUGCUGAUUUCCCAGGGAUAAGUCAACUCAAGGAAUAAUGUUUAAACUGCAUAUAAGUUUUCUAUUUUUCACUCUUAACUCCACUGACAAUUUCUAUGCCAUAAUUAGUCCCCAAAUAUUAUUAAGUGUCUUAUCUGGCCAGUGAGUUUUGUUUUUCUUCUGAAUUUUAAAGUUGAACAGCCAGUGAGGUAUUUUCUCAUAAGUUAAAUCAAAUUAUCCAUAUUAGUGUUGGUACUAAAAAGUAUCAUUUUACUUAUUUUAUACAUAAAUAAAGACAAAAAUCGUAGUUCAAUAUUGGGUGUAAUUUAGGUACUUAUUUCUAUAUACCUGUUCUUAUAUACCUGUUCUUAGGAGGGAUCCUCUUAGGUUAUAAUGAAGUUCUGUGUCUCCAAGAUCUAUACAUGAAAUAAUUGUGCUUUCUGGAAAGUACACAUUUGGUGACAAUGGUCACCAGUCUUCUCUGUCAUUAAAAUUUGUAUUUUCUUACCUGGAGUAGCAAGAUAUUAUUGUUGCCCUUAACUCUUUUCUUGAGCUGUAAUAAAUUUCUUCACUACUUGGUCUUAAAAAGCAUGGAGGAUUUAAAGCUAACUUGUGUCUUUGUCAUUGUCUGUGAAUUAUAGUCUUUAUUUAAAGGAUCACCAUCUAAAGCACCCCUGGUUUUUUUUAAAGCCCCCUUUUAAAAUUUUACCACUGUAACUAGGAAAUUACUGAUAAAUCAGUCUUGUUCACACAGAAUAUUAUUUAAAUGCUUUUUAUUACAAGGUAGAAAUAUUCUGGAAUGAAUAAUAAUAUGUAAAAUGUAAUGAGUAUUUAGUGAAAAUCUCUGUAGAGUUGUUGUAUUAUCAGUAUAAUGCAUAGUCAGAGAGUUUGUUUAUAUUUCGUAUUUCUCAAUCUGAGACACCAUAAUUAUUUCAAUCUUCAAAUGUUCAGUCUUUGUUAACACAGCAUUAGACAUUUGAGACCGGUGUGAAAACAAGGCGCCCUGCACCUGAAGAGGACUCUGGUCUAAUAAUGUGUUUGAUCACUUAGCUUGGAUAAAUAGUCAGGUUAUAUUUCAUGCUAGAAAAACCUUGGAAAAUGAGGGUAGAAGCUAUAAUUAGGUUUUACUUGGAUGCAUGCAUUGUGCAAUUAUUAAAAAAUGAGCUAGGCAAAGGAUAUUAUAUUCUUAGCUUUAUAUUCUAAAUAUCAAUAUUAGACAUUUAUCAUCAGACCUUUUAAAAGCCUCUGCUUUUAAAACGGACAUGGUGAUAGAUGACUUAAACUCAGACAACAACAGACUCUAAAAGCAAGAUAAACCACAAGGAAUUACUUCCUUUUAGUUUAAGAAAACUUGGACCUCUUAACAAAUCAGUAGGUGAUAUGUUGUAAUGAUUUUGUAUUAAUAUACUCUUUCUGCCACUUGAACUGGUUGCAUCAUCCAUACAUCAAGCAAAUAAAUAAGUUUCUCUAAAGACAGGUUGCUCAAUAACAUCUUAUUAAUGGAGAAUGAGCCAACUCUUCAGUAAUUUGGAAUAUCUAUUAGAGAUUGCUCAGAAAUAAAUAUAACCUUGACCAGAUAUAUUACACAUAAACAGUAUAAUUUACGGCAAUACAAUGAAAGCAGGCCCAUUCUAAACCUAGGCCUUUUAUUACUCAUAACCUGAUACUGUGAACAUUUGUUCUUUAGUAAACUCUGCUACAAAUCAUCAGAGUGAUUAUUAUAUAACAGAAGAUUCUCUGGCUGAUAUUCUUAUACUUUCCACAUCAGAAACAUGAGGAAAUUCUACAUGGUAAAAACAGCAACAACCAAAAAAUACUUAAAGUCAACAAACCAGGAAAAGACAUCUCUGAAUAUAGGAAUGCCAAACCUUUAACACAAUAAAACACAGAUUAUAUUUCAGAAGGCUAUAUUAUAUGUGUAUACCAACAUCAAUAUGUCCAGAGUAGCUGCACAGAGUUCCAUAUUUUAGUCUUUAUAAGUUCCCCUCCUCACCCUACUCAGUAGGCACUUUGUGUCUAGAAACUUCUGUGUCAACGGUUUUCCCUCUCUCUGGAAUUCAUCAGGACAGAAGUGAUUGGUGUGGUGGAAGAGGGUUGUGGUAAGAGUGAAGUUAUAUGAAAGUAGGAUGGAGGUUAGCAAGUAGUUAAAGUCCAGAAAGGCAAUAAGGUGUUAAGGAAGAACUUUUCCAUUUUACAGGUCUGAGCAAGCAGGAAAUCAACUCUACAAACUUUGAAACUUGGUAAAUAUGAAAACAUUCUCAAUACCAUUUGUCAUUUAAUAAAUACAAAUUAUACUAUUUUACUGCUUGCAUCUAGAAGUUUGUCAAAGAUCUCGUCUUAAUUAUUCAUUGUGUCGGCGAAGAUGUAAUAACAACAACAACAAAACUCCAAGCAGUUCACAUAUUAUUUGUGAAGGUUUAAAUUGGCAUAAUUCUUUAAAAGAGGAAUUUGUCAAUAUCUACCAAAAUUAAAAAGGUGCAUAGCUUUUGACCCAACAAUUCCACUUCUAAGACUUUAUGUUAUGCCUAAGUGUGUUAAUAGGCAAGAUAAUAAGUAUAUCCAGCUAUUCAGUGAGUAACUGUUUUGCAAGGGUCAGAAAACUGAAAAUAAUGUAAAGCCCCUUCACAGACAAUAGAGUAUACAUAUUCAGUCAUAUAAAAGAAUAAGGUAAAUUUUUAUAUACUGAUAUAUGAAGAACUCCCAGAUUUGCUAUUAAAUAAUAAUAUAGUUCAGUGUAAAUAUAGAUAGUAUUCUAUCAUUUGUGUAAAAACUGGAAAAUAAAAUAGUAAGAUUAUUCUGAAUUUUAAAACAUUUGAAUGUAUUAACUAUUCAAGAAUAAAAUAAAACUUCAAGAAAAAUG